GCAUCCAUGGCUGAAUGGUUAAAGCGCCCAACUC
rnacentral:tRNA from 2 species